GCAACUCGGCUGCAUGAAGCUGGAAUCGCUAGUAAUCGCGGAUCAGAAUGCCGCGGUGAAUACGUUCCCGGGUCUUGUACACACCGCCCGUCACACCAUGGGAGUCGGGAAUGCCCGAAGUCAGUGACCCAACCGAAAGGGGGGAGCUGCCGAAGGCAGGCCUGGUAACUGGGGUGAAGUCGUAACAAGGUAUC
rnacentral:rRNA from 1 species